ACGAACGCUGGCGGCGUGCCUAAUACAUGCAAGUCGAACGGUCUUUCUAUGGAAGCUUGCUUCCACCGAAAAGAUAGUGGCGAACGGGUGAGUAACACGUGGGUAACCUGCCCAUAAGAGGGGGAUAACAUCCGGAAACGGGUGCUAAUACCGCAUAGUUUUCUUGAUCGCAUGAUCGGGAAAGGAAAGACGGCCUUUGUGCUGUCGCUUAUGGAUGGACCCGCGGCGUAUUAGUUAGUUGGUGAGGUAACGGCUCACCAAGACGAUGAUACGUAGCCGACCUGAGAGGGUGAUCGGCCACAUUGGGACUGAGACACGGCCCAAACUCCUACGGGAGGCAGCAGUAGGGAAUCUUCCGCAAUGGACGAAAGUCUGACGGAGCAACGCCGCGUGAGUGAAAGAAGGUUUUCGGAUCGUAAAACUCUGUUGUCAGAGAAGAACAAGUUGGAGAGUAACUGCUCCAGCCUUGACGGUAUCUGACCAGAAAGCCACGGCUAACUACGUGCCAGCCGCGGC
rnacentral:rRNA from 1 species